ACUCCUACGGGAGGCAGCAGUGGGGAAUAUUGCACAAUGGGGAAACCCUGAUGCAGCCAUGCCGCGUGUGUGAAGAAGGCCUUCGGUUGUAAAGCACUUUCAGUAGGGAGGAAGGUAGUGUAGUUAACACCUGCACUAUUUGACGUUACCUACAGAAGAAGCACCGGCUAACUCCGUGCCAGCAGCCGCGGUAAUACGGAGGGUGCGAGCGUUAAUCGGAAUUACUGGGCGUAAAGCGCAUGCAGGCGGCCUGUUAAGUCAGAUGUGAAAGCCCGGGGCUUAACCUCGGAAUUGCAUUUGAAACUGGCAGGCUAGAGUCUUGUAGAGGGGGUAGAA
rnacentral:rRNA from 1 species